rnacentral:lncRNA from 1 species
UUUUUUUUUUUUUUGACUGACCCACAUCUCCUACCCCCAUUUCAGACAAUGAGCUCAUUAAAUUUACUUCAAGUGUAACUUAGAGAUAUUGCAGGUCAGUUCUAGACCACCACAAUAGAGUGAAUAUUGUAAUAAAUCAAUACACACAAUUUUUUUAGUUUCCCCAUUCAUAUAAAAGUUAUGUUUACACUUUCCUGUAUAGUCUAUUAAAGUGUGCAAGAAUAUUAUGUCUAAAAAACAAUGUGCAUUCCUUAAUUAAAAAAUACUUUAUGGCUGAAAAAUGCUAACCACUAUCCAGGCCUUUGGUGAGUCAUAAUCUCUUUGCCAAUGGAGGGUCUUGCCUCAAUGCUGACGGCUGCUGAGUGAGCAGAGUGGUGGCUGCUGAAGGUCAGGGUGACUGCAGCAACUUCUUAAGAUAGCAAUGAAGUUUGCCACAUCAACUGACUCUUCAUUUCACAAACUGCUCUGGAGCAGGCAGUACAGUUUGUGACAUUUUAGCCACAGGAGAUGUCAUUUCAAAAUUGGAGGCAAUCCUGCUGCUAUUUUAUCAACGAAGCUUAUUUUUGGUGUCAUUUCAACAAUCUUCACAGCAUUUUCACCAGGAGCAGAUUCCGUCUCAAGAAACCACUUUCUUUGGUCAUCCAUAAGAAGCAACCCCAGGCGUUCUCAUCGUGGCUCAGCAGUAACAAACUCAACCAGGAUCCAUGAGGAUGCGGGUUCAAUCCCCGGCCUCACUCAGUGAGUUAAGGAUCUGGCGUUGCCGUGAACUGUGGUGUAGGUUGCAGAUGCGGUUUGGAUCCUGCAUUGCUGUGGCAUAGGCGGGCAGCUGUAGCUCAGAUUCAACCCCUAGCCUGGGAACCUCCAUAUGGCCACAGGUUUGGUCCUAAAAAGCAAUAAAAUAAAAUUAAAUUAAAUUAAAAAUAAAACAGAUUAUAAUUAAAAAAAACCAAACCCACAUUAUCUGAGAAGUGCUAUAAAGCAAAGCACAAUAAAUUGAAGUAUGCUUGACACUCUCCUUGUGGAUUUUCAUUAGCUCAACAGUAAGACCAGCUGAAAAAGACAAAGAUUUGAGUGACUACUACCUGUCCAGCAGUGUGGAAUUCUUCAUAUAACUCUUCUACUUGAUCUCAGCAUGAACACUGUGAGUCCAAAGUAUCAUCUCCACCUUACAGGUGAUAAAACUAAACAAGCAGUAUUUAGGAUCAUGGCUUCUACUUUGUUUCUGGGAUUAUGUGACUUUAUGACAUACCCACCGCCUGCCCCUGACACACAAUGGGUGGUGACUUCUCAAAAAUACAGAUAAACACAUAUCCAUACAUCAGCACCACAUCAAACCACUUCAAGGAUCCACAGGGCAUUCUGAGGGGAAAGCAUGUCCUGGAAUCAUGCAAUGCAGUGGUUCCAAGUAUUACAUCAAACCGAAAUAGUUCUGUCUGACCCACACUCCCAGAACUGUGUUGGAAAGAAAGGAUUUAAAAUCAGCCUCUGUGACCAAGAAUACACUCUUCCAAGCAACCUCCUUCUCAUGAGAAGCUAGUGCCAACCAUUUGUUUUUCUUUUAAUCCUAAAUAAAUUAAGAAAUUACCUUUUCUUUUUGUUUUUCUUUCUUUUUAUUUCCUAAAUGGCCACACCUGCAGCCGAUGGCAGUUCCUGGGUCAAAGGUCAAACUGGAGCUGGAGCUGAGGCCUAUGCCACAGUUUGUGGCAGUGCUGGAUCCCCAACCCACUGUACGAGGCCAGGGAUGGAACCUGCAUCCUCAUGGACACUCUGUCGGGUUCUCAACCCCAUCAGCCACAACGGAAACUCCAAUACAUUACGUUUUCUAUCUCACUUCCCUCUUAGGCACAAGUUGAGACCAUGAGCUCCAUACAACCCUCAAAAUGAGCACAGUUCAUUUCCAAAAAGGAGAUAUUGCCUGAUUUUUAUGAGUCAGGCACUGGGAUCAGGGCUAGGAAUGCACUAGACAGGUGGAGGAGACAGAAAAAGUAGAUAGAUCAUUUCAAUAUAACAUGAUGAUUGAGAACCCAACCCCCUCUCACUGCCUCUGUGCUGGUCUGGGCCACCUGGGACCACCUCUCACCUUGAUUACUGCCAUACCUCCUAACAGGCCUCUACUUCUGCCCUUGCCCCAAGUUACAGACUGAAUGUUUGUGUCUCCUGACUCCAUGCCCUCCACCGAUUGCUCUGCGGAAGCCCUACCCCAUAAUGGGAUGAUAUUAGGAGAUGGGGGCUCUGGGCAGGAAUUAGGAUGAGAUCAGGUCAGGAGGGGGGAGCUAUCACAAUGGAAUUAGUGCCCUUCGAAGAGUCACAAGGGUCCUUGCUUCCUCCCUCUGCUCUCUGCGUGUCAGGAUACAGCACGACGCUGGCAAUCUGCAAACCAGAAAAGAACCAGAAAAGGUUCUCCCCAGGACCUGACCGAGCUGGCACCCUGAUCUGACUUUCAGCCUCCAGAAAUGAAUGUCUGCUGUUCAUAAGCCACCAAAUCUAUGGUACUUUCUUAGAGCAACGUGAACAGACUAAGAUAAGACACUCUCAUUUAGUCUAUUCUCUAUAACACAGCCAAAACAAUCCUGCCAAGUCAGACCAAGUCACGUCCUCUGCGUGGAACCCUCCAGGGACUUCCCAUUGCACUUGGAAUAAAAUCCAAAAUAUUUGCAAGGCCCCCAAGGUUCUGCACAGUCUGCCCCUGCGCCCUCCCUCCCCCAGCGCCUCCUUCUCCAACCUCAGCUGCUUCCUCUCCCCACCACUCGUUCAGCUCCAACUAUAACCUGAAGCGUAAUCCUUCCUUGGGGUUUUGUCCUGUACCCUCUGCUCAGUAAAUGCCCCAGGUUCUGCAGGACUCGGCCUCAUACCUCCUUCAGGUCUUUGCUCAAACAAGAUAGUCUCAGUGAUGAGCUCUUUGGUUACUGAGUUAAAAAUUACAGUGUGUUCCCUGGCACGAUUUAAUUUCCUUCUCUUUGUUUUUCCCCAUAACAUUCAUCACCACCUAACCUAUCAUAUAGCUUCUUCAUUUUCAAAUGAUCUGUUUUCUCUCCGGAGGAUGUAAAAUUCAUGACCGUUGGGAUGGAUAGUUUUGUUCACCGUCUGCUUUGUAUUGCACUGUCUUGAACACUGACAUCUAGUGACUGAUCAAUACUUAUUUGUGGAUGGCUGGCUGGAUGCAGGGAAGGGUAGGUAAAUGGAAAGGUGGGUGGAUGGGUGUGGAUUAUACACAGGGUAUUAUGGGGAUGCCAAGAAGAGAUUACUUAAUGUGGCCCAAGGUGAUGGGCUUUGGGAAUGCCAAACAGUCAGUUCACCUGGCCACACCUUUCAUGGGUCAGUUAAAUAAUGAAUUAUGCCUCCUUGCCACCUUCAUUCUUUGUGAUAGUUGCACAAUGUUGAUUUUAAUUUUUUCAAAAACUAUUAUCUAGAUAGCAUAAUAAUUGUCCUAAGUUCAGCCUCUUUGGGUCUCAUCUUCUUCUAAAAGAAAAAUGAACUCAUCUGAAGUUCAACAAUUCCUUUAGUAUUUUGACAGAAGACAACUUACAAGGCAUUUAUAAGGACACGCUCUACAUCUUACACAACAUUUUCACGGUUGCUAUCCAUCUCAUUAUGCGGUGUUAUAAAGACUCCACUGUAUUUUAAAGGUCUUGUUUUUAUAAAGUUAGCACAUAUGGAUGACAACCUGUAACGUUCUCUGCACUUCUGGCAUUAAUUGCUUUGUUAUAAAAGCUUUCCUGUGUAUUUUUCCUGUGAUUUGGGGAAUGACUUUCAUCCGGUCCUGUCUCUGUCUCAGCGGUCAAAUUUCCCUAGGUUUUCCAUGAAACAUUUUUUAACUAAAGAAAUAAGUGUUGAAGAUAUAUCAUUUCCAGUACAUCUUCUCAUAUGUGACACGCACACUGGCAAAACACACGCACACACAAAAUACACAAAUUUAAAGCAGUUCUUUAGGUUCUGAAUUAUGGAAACAGAAGUGAGCAAAUACUCUAAGCUGAAAGAUAUUGACAAAAUACAUGCUUUUAUACAACUACAUAGCAAACAUCCCACACUGCAACACCUGUUCUAAAGCUUGCUUCUUCAGGCAUUCAACAAUAUUUUCUAUUUCUAUUCCAACAGUAUUAGCUAACGAGAAAGGCAUUUUGCUUGUCCCUAUGUAUAUUUUAGGCAUUAUUUCAACCAUUUUCAAUGCCAUCAAGCAGAACAAAUAUUUACCCAGUCAUAUGGAGUUUUUUCAAUCAUAAGUAGGCAAUCUCAAAAUAAUAAGAAAUCUCAAAAGAAGAUUUUAAACGUUUAUCAGCAAAUGUGGCAAUUUUUUUUUCCAAGUACUGUUGAGAAUCCCAUGUGUUUAACCCUCUCUGUUGGGGGAAGGGAUUGUAGCAUUUUGUCCUCGUCCUGGAUGUAUAGCUUUUAAAUGAACUGCUAAUCGUCAUGACUUCCUGAUGUCCUUGAACUUACAUUAAGGUACAGUGGCUGUCUGGGGGACAUUCAUCAUCAAGGUUAGCGAAGGUUAACUCACAUUUCAAAUCAUCCUCGUGAAAAUAUUUUGGCAACUUGUUAGCUCGGAUGAGACCGAUGUUUUCAAUACUGUAUCAUGGCUGACAAGGAGCACAUAUCAGGGGAAACAGAAACGUUGGCUCUGCUGUUUGCUGGGCUGGGUCUGUGUUUACAUUAUUAGCAUGACCCAGUUCACUGUUUCUUUGCAAGAAUCACUUUAAGUUGCCUGUCCUCUCUGUGAUGCCAUGCACUCUAUGAAUUCACUCCACUAACAGGUGAAUAAGGAAUAACAGGAGGCAAUGUGCUAAAAGAGAACAAGCAAGCUGAGGCGGGGUCCCCCUGACUCAAGAUGUGUAGGGAAAGCCCUCAGUCCUCCGGGGUCCUCCCUUCACAUGGUAACUGGGGCUGCCUGACAUAAAAACUGACAAAAUGUUCCAAGCUUAAGCCAUAUUUUCAAUAUUGAUAAAGCUGAAUGUCUUUCUGAUUUUUAGGGGGAAAAACUCUAAACAGUUUCCUUUUGCAAGCAAUGGAUUAUCUUUCGCACCCUUCAGUGUGUCCAUUUUAUUAUUUGUUUGUUUGUUUAUUUACUUAUUUAUUUUUGCCCCCCUCCCCGCAGCAUAUGGAGCUCCCAACCCAGGGAUCAGACCUGAGCUGCAGUAGCGAUCUAUGCUGCAGCUGUGGCAAUGCCAGAUCCUCAAUCCACUGUGCCCAGGCUGGGGAUCCAACCUGUGCUCCAAAGACACCGCCGAUUCCUUUGUGCCACAGAGGGAACUCUGGGCUGUCCAUUUUAGAGGCUUACUGGUCCAGAGAAAAGCACUAUCCUUGGAGGGAAAUUCCUCACCAUGCUGCCAUGACAAUGGUCUACAGACUGAAAAGCCAUGCCAGUGUAGGAACUGAUUACUGCUGCCCAGCCAAGUCUGCCUGUGUCACUGGAUUACCCUCACCCAAGGCCAUGACCGCACAUGCACCCGCUCUCCAAUUCAUCUCCAAUUCCCUGGCAAAUCAGAAUAGUCAUAAUCUGAUAGAAGAAACUGAUCAAAGGGUAUUUGAACCUCUAAGAAGCUCCUUGGCCCUUUGGCCCUCCCCAAUUUUGUGUCUAUUUAUUUUCCUUGAGAGAAAAACUGGGAUGCAUUAACCAGACUUGUUUUCCCACAAGACGUAGUGGGCUCAUGGUCACCUUUCCUGUGAACCCGGGGAACCAGCUCUCGGGGGGUGCUCUGCCUGCACCCCCUCCUCCUCCCUUCCGCCCGGUGAGUCUCAGCAUAGCCGACUGGGUCAGAAUAGCCAUGGGCUCCCUCUGACUGCAUCUAGAAUAUUCUAGAUCUAGACUGGCACUCCCAUCAUGUCAAGCUAAAUCCACAGGAACCCCUGUCCUUGUCAGGAACUCCAGCUUCCUCCUGACCCUAGAUGCAUGGAGAUUCUGCAUCUGGGCCCGCUGUUCUUCCGGAGCAGCCGUGAUUCAUAAGCUGCUCUUUUAUUAGGAACAAGGGACACGCGCUCCUUUAUGUUUCUGCCGCCACA